AGUUGGUCCGCUACUGGUGGGUUAUCAUUGUAUUGUGCUUUCCCUCCCACCACUACCAUUGACUAGCUUUCU
ensembl:Y_RNA Y_RNA Y RNA